UGGCGGCAGGCCUAACACAUGCAAGUCGAGCGGUAACAUUUCUAGCUUGCUAGAAGAUGACGAGCGGCGGACGGGUGAGUAACGCGUAGAAAUCUACCUAGUAGUGGGGGAUAGCCCAGAGAAAUUUGGAUUAAUACCGCAUACGCCCUACGGGGGAAAGCGGGGGAUCUUCGGACCUCGUGCUAUUAGAUGAGCCUGCGUCGGAUUAGCUUGUUGGUGAGGUAAUGGCUCACCAAGGCGACGAUCCGUAGCUGGUCUGAGAGGAUGACCAGCCACACUGGAACUGAGACACGGUCCAGACUCCUACGGGAGGCAGCAGUGGGGAAUAUUGCACAAUGGGCGCAAGCCUGAUGCAGCCAUGCCGCGUGUGUGAAGAAGGCCUUAGGGUUGUAAAGCACUUUCAGCAGUGAGGAAAGGGGUGUCGUUAAUAGCGCCAUCCUGUGACGUUAACUGCAGAAGAAGGACCGGCUAACUCCGUG
rnacentral:rRNA from 1 species